rnacentral:rRNA from 1 species
CAGUAGCCACGGUAACACGGAGGGAGCUAGCGUUGUUCGGAAUUACUGGGCGUAAAGCGCGCGUAGGCAGUUACUCAAGUCAGAGGUGAAAGCCCGGGGCUCAACCCCGGAACUGCCUUUGAAACUAGGUGACUAGAAUCUUGGAGAGGUCAGUGGAAUUCCGAGUGUAGAGGUGAAAUUCGUAGAUAUUCGGAAGAACACCAGUGGCGAAGGCGACUGACUGGACAAGUAUUGACGCUGAGGUGCGAAAGCGUGGGGAGCAAACAGGAUUAGAUACCCCAGUAGUCCCUGUCUUUUAUAC